rnacentral:rRNA from 1 species
AUUGAACGCUGGCGGCAUGCUUUACACAUGCAAGUCGAACGGUAACAGGCCGCAAGGUGCUGACGAGUGGCGAACGGGUGAGUAAUGCAUCGGAACGUGCCCAGUCGUGGGGGAUAACGCAGCGAAAGCUGCGCUAAUACCGCAUACGAUCUAUGGAUGAAAGCGGGGGACCGUAAGGCCUCGCGCGAUUGGAGCGGCCGAUGUCAGAUUAGGUAGUUGGUGGGGUAAAGGCUCACCAAGCCGACGAUCUGUAGCUGGGCUGAGAGGACGACCAGCCACACUGGGACUGAGACACGGCCCAGACUCCUACGGGAGGCAGCAGUGGGGAAUUUUGGACAAUGGGCGCAAGCCUGAUCCAGCAAUGCCGCGUGCAGGAAGAAGGCCUUCGGGUUGUAAACUGCUUUUGCACGGAACGAAAAGGCUCUGGUUAAUACCUGGGGCUCAUGACGGUACCGUAAGAAUAAGCACCGGCUAACUACGUGCCAGCCGCCGCAGUAACAC